AAGAAAUUUGUGUGUCCCCUCCUUUCCUUCCCCCAUCCCACCUCCCCCAUGGGGGUCAGCCCAAUUUUGGGGGGUUAAUUUGAAUUUUGGGGGUCUCAGUCCCAUUUUGGGGGGUUCAUCCAGAUUUAGGGGGAUUCAGCCCAAAUUUUGGGGGAUAAAUUUGGAUUUUGGGGGCUCAGCCCCAUUUUGGGGGAUAAAUUUGGAUUUUGGGGGCUCAGCCCCAUUUUGGAGGAUUAAUCUGGAUUUUGGGGUCUCAGCCCCAUUUUGGGGUCUCAGCCCCAUUUUGGGGGAUAAAUUUGGGAUUUGUAGGAUUCAGCCCCAUUUUGGGGGAUAAAUUUGGAUUUUGGGGGUCUCAGCCCCAUUUUGGGGGAUUAAUUUGGGUUUUGGGGGAUUAAUCUGGAUUUUGGGGUCUCAGCCCCAUUUUGGGGCAUAAAUUUGGAUUUUGGGGGCCUCAGCCCCAUUUUGGGGGAUAAAUUUGGGAUUUGGGGGCUCAGCCCCAUUUUGGGGGGUUAAUUUGGGUUUUGGGGGCUCAGCCCAGGUUCAGUCCUGGCUUUGGGCUCUGGGGGUGCCCCGGGUGGGGCUGCACCCCCAAAAUGGGCUGGAAGGGCCAAAUUUGGGAUUUUUUUCCCCAAAAUGGGC
rnacentral:lncRNA from 1 species